GUUUGGUUAUUAUUAUGAGAAUGAGCAAUGGUUGUUGAUAAUUUUUCAGCAGCAGGAGGAGGUAUUUGCCAAGAUUCUUUGAGUUGUGAGUGACAGAAACCCAAUUCACCCUGGGAAAGCAAAGCGGGGAAUUUAUUGGGCCAUGUAAUUGAAGAGUUCAGGGGCUUCAGGCAUGGCUGCUUUCAGUUGUCAGAUGAAGUCAUUAGGAACCAUCUCUUCAUUUUAUUUUCUCAGAACUGGCUUCAUUCCCAUGCCGGGUCACCUCGUGAGGUAGCAGAGAGUGGCAGUUCCAGCUUAGAUGCCACUGUCCUAACUGUCCCUAGUGGAGAGAACUUGCCAAUUCCCCUAUAGUUGUAGCUGGUCCCAAGACUAGUUCUCUUGUCCACACUGGGUCACAGCCUGACUAGUCAUGGUGUCUCCGAUUGGCAAGACUGGGGUCAUGAGCUGAAGUUGGAGUUGGGGUCCACUCCACUUAAACCUGAUGGAUUGAGUUAGAGCACUUGCCCAGUUUGUGCAAGGCCCUGGGUUUGAUCCCCAGUUUGGGGCUGGAGUGGGGUGGAGAUGGGGGAGAUGGUCCCUCACAAGAAAAUAGGGUGGGUAUUUCCAGAAGACAGUAAAUGCUGAGAAGCAGCAUGGCAUUGAUAUUUACCUGCUCCCACACUUUGUGUUGCAGAAGGGGCAGGAUGGGGCUGGGAAGCCCAGCAGUACCCAUUUGAACUCUGCCUUGAACUUGGAGGCCUGAUAGCAGUUGACCUUUGGGGACCCUCAGCUCAACUGGGACCCCAUCAGAACUCAGAAAAAACUGCCCCUUCCCCAGCUAUGUGAACCAGCGGAAGGAAGCAAGCUGAUGGAGGAACCCCAGAAUACUUAUUUCCCCUUCUCCUACUUCUCCCUCACAGAAGAGACUGACUUAUGAGGGGAAAUUCCACCACCUUCUAGACCAAAAAUAACCCAAAACCAAAUGUUUGAAAUACUUAGAGCUGAACAGAUCCUGAGAGAUCACCAGGUUCAAUGACCUUCUUUUUCCAUCCUAUUUUCCAUCUGUUUUUGAGGGGAGAUGGAUAAAGUUUCAAUCACUAAAUUUUAAUUACAUUAGUAAUUCCAAAUCAUUUUCAUAUUUAAAAAAUUAUUUGCCUAUCAGCAAAUAUGUAGUGGACACCUGCUGUGUUCCAGGACAUGUUCACAGUUAUGAACCAGGCCAGUCACCAAGACCCUUGCUCUCAUGAAGCUCACCUCCAAACCUGGGGAGACAGAAAACAAGGGAACCAAUAGAUAAGGUCAUCUCAGACACCGACAAGUGUCAUAGGGAAAAUAAAACAAGACAUGAUAAGAAAAUGAUGAGGGGAGCCAUUUUGAUUUUUAAAUUUUAUUUAUUUAUUUUUGGUACUGGGGACUGAACUUAGGAGUGCUUUAUCACUGAACUACAUCCUCAGUCUUUAUUAUUAUUAUUAUUAUUAUUAUUAUUAUUAUUAUUUUGAAAGAGGGUCUCCCUAAAUUGCUGAGGCUGGCCUCAGACUUGCAGUCUCCCAGCAUCAGCCUGCCCAGUCACUGGGGUUACAGGUGUGUGCCAGCUUGGUCAGCCUUUAUUUUACUUUUUAAAUUUUAAUUUAAUUCAUUUAGAUUGGAGGAGGUACCAGGGACAGAACCCAAGGGUACUUAGCCACUGAGCCACAUCCCCAGGCUUUUUAUUUUUUUUGAGACAGGGUCUUGCUAAGUUGCUUAGGGCUUCGCUCAGUUGCUGAAGCUGGCUUUGAACUUACAAUCCUCCUACCUCAGGCUCCUGAGCUGCUGGGAUAUGGGUGUGCACUGCCAUGCCUGGCCAAUUAUUUUAGUUUUGAAUAGGUAAUAAAUUCACCUAGUUUCAAGUUCAAAGGUGAAGUGAAAAGGCUUUCUCGAUCCCCUCAUCCUUCAGCCAUUCAAUUUUCCAGCUGGGGGAGCUGCUUCAAUAGGGGCAGGUAAAGUCUCUGAGAAGGGGACAGCUGAGCAGAGACUUGACACAGGAACCAGCCAUGUGAAGAAGAGUGUCCCACAGCAGAGGGAACAGCCAGUGUGAAGGCCUAGGAGCAGGGCUAAAUUGGCAUUUUCUAGAUGAGGUUUCAGGCCUCUGUGACCAUAGGACUCUUUACAGUGUCACCCUCCAUCCCAUCAGUAACCAUUGUAAUGAGUUUGGAGUAAAUUUUUCAGGACCCUUUACCCUGCAGGUACAAAUAUGUAUAUGUCACCUUAGGUGUUCUUGAUUUUCCCUACCCUAUAUGUCAUUCAGCAACUCACUCAAUUCACUCAGUGACAUUAAGAUUUCAUCAAGUCCUUUACACGACUCAUUCUUUUAAGCUGCUGCCUAGCACCUCAAACAAGAGACAUGGGAGGGUUUCAUUAUCCUGUCUUCUCAACGGUCAUUUAUUCUGCUUCUAAUUUCUUCCUCUCACAUCACUGACAUGUCGACAUAAGAUUCUCUAUCAGACUCCUCAUGUACACAUCCAGGAGUUCUCUAGUGCAGGGGUCUUGCUAUCUGUUUGGCACAGCAUUAGAGCUAAGAAUGCUUUUUACGUUUUUAAAAGAAGGGAAAUUCCAAAGUUUAUUUUGUAAAAAAAAAGAAGAGAGAAGAUAUUGGGGAUGGGUUGUAAUCCAACACUUGCCUAGCAUUUAAGAAGCCCCUCUUUCUGUCCCCAGCACCAUAAAAAAAAAAAAAAGGAAAAAAAUAUGUGAAC
rnacentral:lncRNA from 1 species